CACCGGCGCCACUAGUGGGGAUCGUAUUUAUUGGGCCUAAAGCGUCCGUAGCCGACUUGAUAAGUUCCUUGUGAAAUUGUUGCGCUCAACGUAACGAAUGGCAAGGAAAACUGUCUUGUUAGGGAUCGGGAGGGGACUGAGGUACUCCUUGGGAAGCGGUUAAAUGUUUUAAUCCUUGGAGGACCACCUGUGGUGAAGACGUCAGUCUAGAACGAAUCCGACGGUGAUGGACGAAAGCUGGGGGAGCAAACCGG
rnacentral:rRNA from 1 species